rnacentral:rRNA from 1 species
AGCAGCCGCGGUAAAUUCCAGCUCCAAUAGCGUAUAUUAAAGUUGUUGCAGUUAAAAAAGCUCGUAGUUGAAUUUCGAGACCGGUUUAUUGGUCGUGCUUUUGUACGUACUGGUAUUAUGGUUUCUCCUUUCUGACGAAUCUUAAUGCCAUUAAUUUGGUGUUUUGGGGAAUCAGGAUGUUACUUUGAAAAAAUUAGAGUGUUUAAAGCAGGCUCACGCUUGAAUACAUUAGCAUGAAUAACGGAAUAGGACGUUUGAUUCUAUUUUGUUGGUUUCUAGGAUCG